GGACGCAAACAUAAUGACAUACCCUGACUCCGGAAACUCAGUUCACACAGUAGGGAAACAGUAGAGACAGGCGAGACAGUAGAGAGACAGUAGAGAGACAGUAGAGAGACAGUAAGAGCAGUAGAGAGACAGUAGAGAGACAAGAGAGACAGUAAGAGCAGUAGAGAGAGACAGUAAGAGCAGUAGAGACACAGUAGAGAGACAGUAAGAGCAGUAGAGAGACAGACACAAGACAGUAAGAGCAGUAGAGACAGUAAGAGCAGUAGAGAGACAGUAGGAGCAGUAGAGAGACAGUAGAGAGACAGUAAGACAGUAGAGAGACAGUAAGAGCAGUAGAGAGACAGUAGAGAGACAGUAAGACAAGAGAGACAGUAAGAACAGAGACACAGUAGAGAGAGACAGUAAGAACAGUAGAGAGACAGUAAGAACAGAGGGACAGUAAGAACAGAGAGACAGUAAGAACAGAGAGACAGUAAGAACAUAAGAACAGUAAGAACAGAGAGACAGUAAGAACAGAGAGACAGUAGAGAGACAGUAAGAACAGUAGAGAGACAGUAAGAACAGAGAGACAGUAAGAACAGUAGAGAGACAGUAAGAACAGAGAGACAGAGAGACAGUAAGAACAGAGAGACAGUAAGAACAGAGAGACAGUAGAGAGACAGUAGAGACAGUAAGAACAGAGAGACAGUAAGAACAGAGAGACAGUAAGAACAGUAGAGAGACAGUAAGAACAGAGAGACAGUAAGAACAGUAGAGAGACAGUAGAGAGAGACAGUAAGAACAGUAGAGAGACAGUAAGAACAGUAGAGAGACAGUAAGAACAGUAGAGAGACAGUAAGAACAGAGAGACAGUAAGAACAGAGAGACAGUAAGAACAGAGAGACAGUAAGAACAGUAGAGAGACAUAGAGAACAGUAAGAACAGAAAGAACAGUAGAGAGACAGUAAGAACAGUAGAGAGACAGUAAGAACAGUAGAGAACAGUAGAGAGACAGUAAGAACAGUAGAGAGACAGUAAGAACAGUAGAGAGACAGUAAGAACAGUAGAGAGACAGUAAGAACAGUAGAGAGACAGUAAGAACAGUAGAAGACAAGACAGUAAGAACAGUAGAGACAGUAAGAACAGUAGAGAGACAGUAAGAACAGUAGAGAGACAGUAAGAACAGUAGAGAGACAGUAAGAACAGUAGAGAGACAGUAAGAACAGAGACAGUAAGAACAGUAGAGAGACAGUAAGAACAGAGAGAUGGUAGAGAGACAGUAAGAAGAGUAGAGAGACAGUAAGAAGAGUAGAGAGACAGUAGAGAGACAGUAGAGACAGUAAGAACAGUAGAGAGACAGUAAGAACAGUAGAGAGACAGUAAGAACAGUAGAGAGACAGUAAGAACAGUAGAGACAGUAAGAACAGUAAGAACAGUAGAGAGACAGUAAGAACAGAGAGACAGUAAGAACAGAGAGACAGUAAGAACAGAGAGACAGUAAGAACAGAGAGACAGUAGAGAGACAGUAACAACAGAGACAUGGUAGAGAGACAGUAAGAACAGAGAGACAGUAAGAACAGAGAGACAGUAGAGAGACAGUAACAACAGUAGAGAGACAGUAACAACAGUAGAGAGACAGUAACAGUAGAGAGACAGUAACAACAGUAGAGAGACAGUAACAACAGUAGAGAGACAGUAACAACAGUAGAGAGACAGUAACAACAGUAGAGAGACAGUAACAACAGUAGAGAGACAGUAAGAGCAGUAGAGGCCAGUAGGAUGUGUGCCAUUUGGGACACGGUAGAUGAGGUUUCCUGACCUGGCUCUGAUAUUGGCCUAGAUGGCUCAG
ensembl:lncRNA